rnacentral:rRNA from 1 species
GACGAACGCUGGCGGCGUGCUUAACACAUGCCAGUCGAACGGAAAGGCCCCUUUGGGGGUACUCGAGUGGCGAACGGGUGAGUAACACGUGAGUAACCUGCCCUUGACUUCGGGAUAACUUCAGGAAACUGGGGCUAAUACCGGAUAGGAAUCCUUGCUGCAUGGUGGGGGUUGGAAAGCUUCGGCGGUUUUGGAUGGACUCGCGGCUUAUCAGCUUGUUGGUGGGGUAGUGGCUUACCAAGGCUUUGACGGGUAGCCGGCCUGUGAGGGCGACCGGCCACAUUGGGACUGAGAUACGGCCCAGACUCCUACGGGAGGCAGCAGUGGGGAAUAUUGCACAAUGGGCGGAAGCCUGAUGCAGCAACGCCGCGGGCGGGAUGACGGCCUUCGGGUUGUAAACCGCUUUCAGCAGGGGCGAAGCUUGUGGUGACGGUACCUGCAGAAGAAGCACCGGCUAACUACGUG